UACAAGGUUUUGACUCUUCGUCUUAUUUGAAAUUUUUUUGCGAUUAAUAUUUUUAUUUGUACUAGAUGAUAAAAUAUGAAUAGUACUUUAUACGUGACUAAUUUUUGUAAGUUUUUUUACAAAUUUUUCAAAUAAGACGAAUGGUCAAACGUUGGACACAGAAAAACA
rnacentral:pre_miRNA from 1 species